UGCCACUCGAACCCAGAGCUAGCUGGUUCUCCCCGAAAUGCGUUGAGGCGCAGCAGUUGACAGGACAUCUAGGGGUAAAGCACUGUUUCGGUGCGGGCUGCGCGAGCGGUACCAAAUCGAGGCAAACUCUGAAUACUAGAUAUGACCCAAAAAUAACAGGGGUCAAGGUCGGCCAGUGAGACGAUGGGGGAUAAGCUUCAUCGUC
rnacentral:ncRNA from 1 species